UUCUAAAUGCAUUGUAAGUUGCUCUGGAUAAGAGCGUCUGCUGAAUGACUCAAA
rfam:Salmo salar isolate Sally breed double haploid chromosome ssa15, whole genome shotgun sequence.